rnacentral:lncRNA from 1 species
CAGAAAUCGCAGCAGCUUUCCAUUUCUUCAGCUUCUGACGGCCAAGUCCUUGCAAUCCCAGCGAGGAAUCGUUUUGAGAAAGCACAUGCUGCAAUUAAGGCACUGCCCAAAAGCACACUCGGCCAGCAAAGCCAGUAUUUAUCAAUACAAUUUUAAGUGUCUUGCAGACCAUUUGGCCUCUCCUGCUGAUGAGGAAAGCCACUGGACACAGUAAAUCUUUGGUGUCUUACCUGCACUGUCUGAACCGUAACAGCUUACAGGAGCCCUGCUUUCACGUUUGCUCUGAGGUCCCAGGUUGAAAGAGACGGUGUUAUCCAUUCUCCCGAUCUCCUCCUGGGAGGGACUGAGGCGAGGGCUAGGACCCCCUUGGCAUGCCAGGAGGAGCUCUGGCCUCCCCAUGAUUUCUGCUCCAGCUCAAGGCUGCCUGCGGGACAUGCCCAGUGGUUGCCAGAGCUGCUGUUGGUGGUGUUACAAGAUGGGGGUUGAAGGAGAUCGCCGUCACGCAGGAGGCAAUUCUCCCUGCUGUAGAGACGCCUGCCCGGGAGCUGCGGUGCUCUACAUCACGGUGGGAACAGGCAAGGCUGUGAUCUCAUGGUGUCUUUGGGAGGUAAAGCAUGGGUGAACUUCUUUCUGUCAGACAUCCACUCCUGUAUGGUCUCUGCUGGACAUGUUCUCCUUUCCUUUCCGUGUUGAACUGUCACUGAAUGUGGUCUGGUGCUGUUUAAAGCUUGUGAUUUUAUCAACAGCAGCUGCAUCUCAGUGCAGGAUGAACUGGGCCCUGUCUGUACAUACAUAUAUCCUGUGAUCAGCUUACAAAGACUGAAGACUGUUGGGGGAACAAAAAAAAAAAAAAUCCUGUAAAAAUGCCAACUAUUAUCAUCAAGCUUGUGUGUGUCAUAAUCCUAACAUAGCCCAAGCACCAGGGAGUAUCAUAGGCCCAUAAAUUUGUUACCAUGGGAAGGGUGGACAGUUUUUGGGUCCCAUUUCUGCAGAGUUUGGUGCUGCUGAGCAGCACUUACAUGAGUUUUCCCAUUGUUAGAGCGUACUGCUUCCCUAUGUCGAUGGCACUUGGGCAUUGUAGGGCUUGUUGGUUCAGGGCUGUGAGGAAUUAGCAGGACAGGUUAAACGUAUAAAACUCACAGUACUGGGAUCUGAGUUAUCCUUACUGUGGGGCAGCAAUCACUUUUGCUUUUUACAUGUCAGACAUUUUUGCCAAAGGAGAUAAAUGUUUUGAAGAUAUAAAUAUAUUUAAGAGCUUUAUUUUUGCCAGUGUCACCUUAAUUCAUGGCAGACUUUGAGGAGGUGGGUUUGGGGAGCAUCAGUCCCCGUGUGCAGCAGGAAGUGGGGAGCAGAGCAGCAAGAGACUGCAACCUUUCAACUUUGCCACAGUGCAUACACUCAUGCAAAUGCGUUCACUUCUGCCGCAGAAUAAAACCAGAUAAAUCUCCA